CCGCAGAGGCUCCUCCGGCGCAGGCCGAGCUUUCACUCGAGCUCGCGAAGUCGGUUGAAGCCAUGUCGCGCGAAAUCGCGACCCUCAAAGAAACCGUAGAGCAGUUGCAGGCCGGCCAGCGGCAGCUGAGCCGUGAUGUCGCGAAANCAGAGCAGACAGCGACCCGCAAGCCCGUUGCACAGGCCGCAAAACCGGCUCCAUCUUCGCG
rnacentral:misc_RNA from 1 species